rnacentral:rRNA from 1 species
AUGCGUUGUUGGGUAGGGGAGCGUUCUGUAAGCCUGUGAAGGUGUGCUGUGAGGCAUGCUGGAGGUAUCAGAAGUGCGAAUGCUGACAUAAGUAACGAUAAAGCGGGUGAAAAGCCCGCUCGCCGGAAGACCAAGGGUUCCUGUCCAACGUUAAUCGGGGCAGGGUGAGUCGACCCCUAAGGCGAGGCCGAAAGGCGUAGUCGAUGGGAAACAGGUUAAUAUUCCUGUACUUGGUGUUACUGCGAAGGGGGGACGGAGAAGGCUAUGUUGGCCGGGCGACGGUUGUCCCGGUUUAAGCGUGUAGGCUGGUUUUCCAGGCAAAUCCGGAAAACUAAGGCUGAGGCGUGAUGACGAGGCACUACGGUGCUGAAGCAACAAAUGCCCUGCUUCCAGGAAAAGCCUCUAAGCAUCAGGUAACAUCAAAUCGUACCCCAAACCGACACAGGUGGUCAGGUAGAGAAUACCAAGGCGCUUGAGAGAACUCGGGUGAAGGAACUAGGCAAAAUGGUGCCGUAACUUCGGGAGAAGGCACGCUGAUAUGUAGGUGAAGUCCCUCGCGGAUGGAGCUGAAAUCAGUCGAAGAUACCAGCUGGCUGCAACUGUUUAUUAAAAACACAGCACUGUGCAAACACGAAAGUGGACGUAUACGGUGUGACGCCUGCCCGGUGCCGGAAGGUUAAUUGAUGGGGUUAGCGCAAGCGAAGCUCUUGAUCGAAGCCCCGGUAAACGGCGGCCGUAACUAUAACGGUCCUAAGGUAGCGAAAUUCCUUGUCGGGUAAGUUCCGACCUGCACGAAUGGCGUAAUGAUGGCCAGGCUGUCUCCACCCGAGACUCAGUGAAAUUGAACUCGCUGUGAAGAUGCAGUGUACCCGCGGCAAGACGGAAAGACCCCGUGAACCUUUACUAUAGCUUGACACUGAACAUUGAGCCUUGAUGUGUAGGAUAGGUGGGAGGCUUUGAAGUGUGGACGCCAGUCUGCAUGGAGCCGACCUUGAAAUACCACCCUUUAAUGUUUGAUGUUCUAACGUUGACCCGUAAUCCGGGUUGCGGACAGUGUCUGGUGGGUAGUUUGACUGGGGCGGUCUCCUCCUAAAGAGUAACGGAGGAGCACGAAGGUUGGCUAAUCCUGGUCGGACAUCAGGAGGUUAGUGCAAUGGCAUAAGCCAGCUUGACUGCGAGCGUGACGGCGCGAGCAGGUGCGAAAGCAGGUCAUAGUGAUCCGGUGGUUCUGAAUGGAAGGGCCAUCGCUCAACGGAUAAAAGGUACUCCGGGGAUAACAGGCUGAUACCGCCCAAGAGUUCAUAUCGACGGCGGUGUUUGGCACCUCGAUGUCGGCUCAUCACAUCCUGGGGCUGAAGUAGGUCCCAAGGGUAUGGCUGUUCGCCAUUUAAAGUGGUACGCGAGCUGGGUUUAGAACGUCGUGAGACAGUUCGGUCCCUAUCUGCCGUGGGCGCUGGAGAACUGAGGGGGGCUGCUCCUAGUACGAGAGGACCGGAGUGGACGCAUCACUGGUGUUCGGGUUGUCAUGCCAAUGGCACUGCCCGGUAGCUAAAUGCGGAAGAGAUAAGUGCUGAAAGCAUCUAAGCACGAAACUUGCCCCGAGAUGAGUUCUCCCUGACUCCUUGAGAGUCCUGAAGGAACGUUGAAGACGACGACGUUGAUAGGCCGGGUGUGUAAGCGCAGCGAUGCGUUGAGCUAACCGGUACUAAUGAACCGUGAGG